rnacentral:rRNA from 1 species
CUACGGGGCGCAGCAGUGGGGAAUAUUGGACAAUGGGGGAAACCCUGAUCCAGCAAUGCCGCGUGUGUGAAGAAGGCCUGCGGGUUGUAAAGCACUUUCGGUUGGGAGGACUGCUUCUAGCACUAAUAUUGUUGGAAGUUGACGUUACCUUCAGAAGAAGCACCGGCUAACUCCGUGCCAGCAGCCGCGGUAAUACGGAGGUGGCAAGCGUUAAUCGGAAUUACUGGGCGUAAAGCGCGCGUAGGCGGCUAGAUCAGUCGGGUGUGAAAGCCCCGGGCUUAACCUGGGAACUGCAUCCGAUACUGUCUAGCUUGAGUACAGGAGAGGAGAGUGGAAUUCCACAUGUAGCGGUGAAAUGCGUAGAUAUGUGGAGGAACACCAAUGGCGAAGGCAGCUCUCUGGCCUGAUACUGACGCUGAGGUGCGAAAGCGUGGGGAGCAAACAGGAUUAGAUACCCGUGUAGUC